CCCGUUCCCAUACCGAACACGGAAGUUAAGCUCUCUAGCGCCGAUGGUAGUUGGGACCUUGUCCCUGUGAGAGUAGGACGUCGCCAAGC
rnacentral:rRNA from 16 species